CUGGUUUCAUGAGCAAUUUUCAAUAAUGGAAGACAUAGGACUGAAUAUUUUUCCUGAAGGGGAAAUGUCUUUUUCUCAGAAGCAUAGAAAUGAUUAUUUUAUUAGAUUCAACAAGUAUCUUAACUCAGAUGAUUAUGAAAAAAGUGCAAAAUCCUUGCUUAAUUAUUAUGAGCAAAAUUCUGAAGGGCCAGCAUUUCAGCUUUUAACUGCAGUUAUGUUUCAGAUAGAGAAAGAAUUUUUUCUUCAGCUUUCUUCCUAUCUUCAGUUAUCUGCCCCUGAGCCUGUAAAAAAGCUAACUGUUCAGUCUGACCUGGAAAUUGACUCUGCAGGAAAAGGGAAAUUAAGGCAGGACCUAGUAACUCUCAACCUUCAUAUGCUGAUCUGACUCCCGCUGGCUCUGUAUCAUCUGGACCUGGCCUUUCACCACAACCUAGAGAAAGAGGUAAGAGAACAUCAAGCAAAGGAAAAGGUAAAGGGAAGGGCAAAGGAAAGAAAAGAAAAACAUCUGCUGACAGAGAUUUGAACAUGACAGAGGAAGAUCUUACUAGGGUGGGACCAACAGAAGUGUCAGAUCAAAGUUGCACAUAGGAGCUGGAGAGAAAUCCUGAUUAAGAAUUAAUAGCAAGACCAGUGAGUCAGAAACCUUUUAGUAUGCCAUAUCUUUCCUUCUGAGCUUCUUUUUGGAUGUUGUUCUGGCAAUUCAGCACCUCCCGAGGCUCCCCCAGUGUUUGAUUUCCUCGAUACAGAGGCGUGUCCUAGAAUAACA